CAGGCCUCCGGCGAGGGGAGCGCGCAGGCGGCCGCGCGCCUCUGUGACCUCACUGGGGCCGCGCCCCGCUCCCGGCCUGUGCCCCCUGGGAGCCCACAGCUGGGCGAGCGUGGCUUCCUGUCUGCCCCUGGGUGCCUGAGCCUCGCGGAGCGAGCGGGCCCGGGUCGGAUGACCUGGGAGAGACCUGAAUGCGCACAGCACGCCCGCGGAGAGGGCACGGGGCGUGCCCGCGUGACACCCGAGGAAGCAGGGUCAGCCGGAACACGUCCGCAGGUCUCAGGUGGACCUGGGAAUUUGCAUUCCUAAUAAUCCCCAGAUGCUGCUGGAAUGUGGACCAGCCUUUGUGAACCACAGGGCCAUGGUGUGGUGUGCAGUGAGGAGUACAGCAGGGGGACGGACAGCAAUGACACAGGGGACCUUGAACACCAGGCCAGAGGCAGAAGCAGCAGGACCUCUCCAAGCAGGACCAAGCACUGAGAGGCAUGCUUUCAUCAGUGGCCUUCAAACUUUAUUUCCUGGGGCCCACAGUAGGAUACCAUUUUAUAUCAUGACCCAGUACAAACAUAACUCAAAAAAGUUCCAUGAAAAGCUCACCCCUACAAUAUGCAUGCACCCCAAUAUUUUCAUUUAGUCUCUUCUUUCCUGUACCAUUGCAUUAAAAAAAUAAAAUGCUGACAGUGAUGCACAAA